CAGCCGCCACGGUAAUACGGAGGGGGCUAGCGUUGUUCGGAAUUACUGGGCGUAAAGCGCGCGUAGGCGGCUUGGUAAGUUAGAGGUGAAAGCCUGGGGCUCAACCCCAGAAUUGCCUUUAAGACUGCCGAGCUAGUAGGUGAGAGAGGUAAGUGGAAUUCCGAGUGUAGAGGUGAAAUUCGUAGAUAUUCGGAAGAACACCAGUGGCGAAGGCGGCUUACUGGCUCAUUCUAGACGCUGAGGUGCGAAAGCGUGGGGAGCAAACAGGAUUAGAUACCCCCGUAGUCCCUGUCUCUUAUAC
rnacentral:rRNA from 1 species